rnacentral:rRNA from 1 species
AUUGAACGCUGGCGGCAGGCCUAACACAUGCAAGUCGAACGGUAACAGGAAACAGCUUGCUGUUUCGCUGACGAGUGGCGGACGGGUGAGUAAUGUCUGGGAAACUGCCUGAUGGAGGGGGAUAACUACUGGAAACGGUAGCUAAUACCGCAUAACGUCGCAAGACCAAAGAGGGGGACCUUCGGGCCUCUUGCCAUCGGAUGUGCCCAGAUGGGAUUAGCUAGUAGGUGGGGUAACGGCUCACCUAGGCGACGAUCCCUAGCUGGUCUGGGGGGAUGACAAGCCACACUGGAACUGAGGCACGGUCCAGACUCCUACGGGAGGGAGCAGUGGGGAAUAUUGCACAAUGGGCGCAAGGCUGAUGCAGCCAUGCCGCGUGUAUGAAGAAGGCCUUCGGGUUGUAAAGUACUUUCAGCGGGGAGGAAGGGAGUAAAGUUAAUACCUUUGCUCAUUGACGCUACCCGCAGAAGAAGCACCGGCUAACUCCGUGCCAGCAGCCGCAGUAACAC